rnacentral:snoRNA from 1 species
AAACAGUGUGAGGACCUGACUCGGCAAGAUCUGGGGCCAGGGGAACUCUCUCAUCUCUCUUCGGAGACCUGUGGAGCAGUUCCUUGCUAUUGCUGCUUUACUGGUCCAAAUUGGUUUUGUCGGGUUUUUCGGCGCUCGAGAGGCAGAGUCUCAAGGAACCGACUGUCUUUCAGGAAGAAGAUACUUGCAAGCUUCUCCCCCACCUCGGUGGGGUCUUGAGUCGCGUGUGACUUUUUCUACUUGAUUCAAUGGACAGUGGGUUGUUGCCGUCGGAUUUAUUCGAAGGUUGAGACAGAAGCAGCCCUGUCGACAGGUACCUAGAGGAAGCAGAAUGCGUGUUCCUUGAGUUCUUGGGUCUCAGUUAGUUCUGGGUCCUGAUUGAGCUCGGUCACCUUUGUGCCAUUCUGCCGCGGUAUAUUCCUAAACGCUGUGUAGGCCCUAUGGGCCAGUUAUCAUUUGGGUAAAACCAUACCGCUGACAUUU